UACGUAGGGGGCUAGCGUUGUCCGGAUUUAUUGGGCGUAAAGAGCGUGUAGGCGGCUUUACAGGUCCGUUGUGAAAACUCGAGGCUCAACCUCGAGACGCCGGUGGAAACCGUAAAGCUAGAGUCCGGAAGAGGAGAGUGGAAUUCCUGGUGUAGCGGUGAAAUGCGCAGAUAUCAGGAGGAACACCCGUGGCGAAAGCGGUUCUCUGGGACGGUACUGACGCUGAGACGCGAAAGCGUGGGGAGCGAACAGG
rnacentral:rRNA from 1 species